GAUGAACGCUGGCGGCGUGCCUAAUACAUGCAGGUCGAGCGAACGGACGAGAAGCUUGCUUUUCUGAUGUUAGCGGCGGACGGGUGAGUAACACGUGGAUAACCUACCUAUAAGACUGGGAUAACUUCGGGAAACCGGAGCUAAUACCGGAUAAUAUUUUGAACCGCAUGGUUCAAAAGUGAAAGACGGUCUUGCUGUCACUUAUAGAUGGAUCCGCGCUGCAUUAGCUAGUUGGUAAGGUAACGGCUUACCAAGGCAACGAUGCAUAGCCGACCUGAGAGGGUGAUCCGCCCCACUGAAACUGAGACACGGUCCAGACUCCUACGGGAGGCCGCAGUAGGGAAUCUUCCGCAAAGGGCGAAAGCCUGCCGGAGCAACGCCGCGUGAGUGAUGAAGGUCUUCGGAUCGUAAAACUCUGUUAUUAGGGAAGAACAUAUGUGUAAGUAACUGUGCACAUCUUGACGGUACCUAAUCAGAAAGCCACGGCUAACUACGUG
rnacentral:rRNA from 1 species